GAUCAUAGUAAUAGAUUCUUACAUUAAAAAAAAAAAAAAAAAGGACAUUGAUGGCUUUUAGCCAUAGUUUCCAGUUUUGCAACCAGAUUUGACUCUUGCUUUUUGUUUUUGUUUUUUAUUGUUGGUGGUAUUUUUUAAUCAAUAUUUCUUAUUUUAACUUGUAUUUCCUAGUUUCUGUGAAAUUGUAAGAAAGUAGAGAUAUUGCUACUUAAAACCAAUUUACUAUUACCAUUACCAAAACCCAUCUGAUACAAUGUUAUAAUGGAAUAGCAAUAUAAAUGUUGGUAAUUCAUUAGGCUUAUUUAUCAUUUUAGAAUAAAAGGUAGUGGUGCAGAAGCUCAUUUAUAACUGAGAAAUCCAAUAUGACUUCAGAACUGCUAAAUCAUGCCACUGAACAAACCACUCUUUAUGGACUGUGGCAGUGAGGAGAGAAGAGAGUCUUAGGUGAGAAAUAAGAGGACAUCAGACCACUACACAGAGACAAAGCUUAACAAUAAGGAAGAGGAGUUUUGCAGUUAGGAGGACGGGGCUGUCUUGUUGCAGUCAUUAAAGAAUAAAAGAAUUUAAAUGAGCU
rnacentral:lncRNA from 1 species